rnacentral:tRNA from 1 species
AGGUCUUGUAGUUUAAUAAGAAUUCUAGGCUGCAAUCCUAGUGGUGCUAUAUAGCUAAGGCUUA